AAUCAUUCACAAUGGGGGAAACCCUGAUGGUGCGACGUCGCGUGGGGGAAUGAAGGUCUUCGGAUUGUAAACCCCUGUCAUGUGGGAGCAAAUUAAAAAGAUAGUACCACAAGAGGAAGAGACGGCUAACUCUGUGCCAGCAGCCGCGGUAAUACAGAGGUCUCAAGCGUUGUUCGGAAUCACUGGGCGUAAAGCGUGCGUAGGCUGUUUCGUAAGUCGUGUGUGAAAGGCGCGGGCUCAACCCGCGGACGGCACAUGAUACUGCGAGACUAGAGUAAUGGAGGGGGAACCGGAAUUCUCGGUGUAGCAGUGAAAUGCGUAGAUAUCGAGAGGAACACUCGUGGCGAAGGCGGGUUCCUGGACAUUAACUGACGCUGAGGCACGAAGGCCAGGGGAGCGAAAGG
rnacentral:rRNA from 1 species